UACAGAGGGUGCGAGCGUUAAUCGGAAUUACUGGGCGUAAAGCGUGCGCAGGCGGUUUUGUAAGUCUGUCGUGAAAUCCCCGGGCUCAACCUGGGAAUUGCGAUGGAGACUGCAAGGCUAGAAUCUGGCAGAGGAGGGUAGAAUUCCACGUGUAGCAGUGAAAUGCGUAGAGAUGUGGAGGAACACCGAUGGCGAAGGCAGCCCCCUGGGUCAAGAUUGACGCUCAUGCACGAAAGCGUGGGGAGCAAACAGG
rnacentral:rRNA from 1 species